rnacentral:misc_RNA from 1 species
GCAAACUUGGUCAUUUAGAGGAAGUAAAAGUCGUAACAAGGUUUCCGUAGGUGAACCUGCGGAAGGAUCAUUAUUGAAUACAACUUGAUGGGUUGUAGCUGGCUCCUUGGAGCAUGUGCACACCUAUCUUGACUUUAUUCAUCCACCUGUGCACACACUGUAGUCUCUGAGGGCUGUGAACGGCCGAUUUUCGGCUGAAAAGACCGGACUAGAGAAUUGCUCGUAAAGGGCUCUUCUCAACAGCUGGCCGUGAUCUCUUUUCAGAGUCUAUGUCUUUUCUUCAUCCACUAUGUAACAUAAUAACGAAUGAUCAUAAUUAGGCCUACGUGCCUAUAAAACUUUAUACAACUUUCAGCAACGGAUCUCUUGGCUCUCGCAUCGAUGAAGAACGCAGC